GACGAACGCUGGCGGCGUGCUUAACACAUGCAAGUCGAACGGAAAGGCCCUGCUUUUGUGGGGUGCUCGAGUGGCGAACGGGUGAGUAACACGUAGGUAACCUGCCCUUGACUUUGGGAUAACUUCAGGAAACUGGGGCUAAUACCGGAUAGGAGCUCCUGCUGCAUGGUGGGGGUGGGAUAGAUUCGGCGGUUGGGGAUGGACUAGCGGCUUAUCGGCUUGUUGGUGGGGUAGUGGCUGAGCAAGGCCUUGCAGGGUGGCCGGCCUGGGCGGGUGACCGGCCCCGUUACGCCUGGGCUACGACCCAGACCCCUCCGGUAGGCAGCGGUGGGGAAUAUUGUACAGUGGGCGGAAGCCUGACCCAACAACGCCGCGUCGGGGAUGACGGCCUUCGGGUUGUGAUCCGCUUCCGCCUGUCCCGAAGCGUGAGUGACGGUACUGGGUGAAUAAGCACCGGCUAACUACGUG
rnacentral:rRNA from 1 species